GGAGAGUAGAGGAAAGACAGGAGAUGGUUGUUGGCAAGGGCAGGGCGACUGUCAGGCCGAGGCCCGAUGUGCUGGGCUGGGGGGUGGGCGGUGCCCACUUGAAGUUCAAGGUCAUAAACUUAACUGGAGCCAAUCCAAAUCCACUGCCCAAGCAAAAGCGUAUCUAAGAAAAAGAAAAAUAACUCGAAGCCUCCAAGACACAUAAAAUCCAGAAUGGGCUGACAACAGUGAAGAAGGGUAGAGCUUUUCAGAAAGAUGACCCUCGAUUCAGGGCUUAGCCAUUCUGGUACAUGGAGCCAAGUUCAUUUUACACGCAACUGACUUACGAGUGUCUCAUAACUCUGGACUCGUAACGGACACCACAAAAGCCCAUUCAAUGUCCAAUUGCUGGGAUGAGCCUAGUGGACAAAACGUCAAGCCAAUGGCAUGAGGACUGUGGUUUCAAUCAAGACCUGUCCCCCCAGAGCAGGGCUGCCCCAGCCCAUCCAUCUGGCAUCUCCGAGUCUCGGCAUCUUCUCUGAAAAUGAGAAUCAGAAGGUGUGUGAGCAAAGUUUGUUGUGUUAAUCAAAAAUAUGUUAAUUUUCUGCAUUUCAAUAACUUCAAGCUUAGCCUGAGAACCUUCCAAGCUGUAGAAAACCUCCUUGACUAAGAGUCCACCUGCACAAGGACCUCCGUCCUUCUGAACACAAACGAGCUGGAAUAGACCGUAAAGAAGGAGGGGGACCCUGGGGCCAGGAAGCUGGUCCUUCACAAGCAGGUCAGUGGUGGGGAUGCAGCUGGGGGCACAUGACACGAUGACAUUUCAUCUGGGUCUGAAAUACUCAGGCCCAGGCCCCCGAGAGUCCUGCAAACAGCGAAUCAGAAGGACCGCAGAGACUGAACAGGUGGUCCCUGAGCAGGUGGCUCUUGGCUGCUUGGAUGAGGGAGGGGAGAGGAGAGAGAAGAUGCUGGGGGCCACCCCAGGGGCCCUGCGCUGGAGACAGGUCCUGGGGCCCAGACUGUCUCACCCGAGAUGCAUCUUCCAUACCCUCCUUGGCAAGUCAGUCCUGAGCAUGAGCCUAGAGAAACCCCUUCACCGGCCUGCCGUGGAGAAGGCCCUUCAAAGCCUCCCUCAGAAGAACGAGAAGCAUCCAAUGCUCCAUCAGUGGUGCCAUUACUAAUCAAAUUUAAAAGGAUUAAUGAGGGACCUCCCGUCAUGGCGCAGCGGACACGAAUCCGACUAGGAACCAUAAGGUUUUCGGUUCGAUCCCAGGCCCCGCUCAAUGGGUUAAGGAUCCAGCGUUGCCAUGAGCUGUGGUGUAGGUCGUGGACGCGGCUUGAAUCUGGCGUUACUGUGGCUGUGCCACAAGCUGACAGCUAUAGCUCCGAUAAGACCCCGAGUCUGGGAACCUCCACAUGCUGCAAGUGUGGCCCUAAAAAGACAAAAAGACUAAAAUAAAAUAAAAAGUUUAGUGAGUAAAGAAAUAAAGUAGGAAAGCCUCUUGGAGGAAAGAAUGAAAGAUCUGUGUUAUAGUGACAAUGACAGAAAUGAAAAGCAUUUUGCCAAGAUUUUGCACCUGUGACAAGCCAGGCCAAGUCACAGACUUCGAAAAGAAUGGGCUCUUUUGGACGGGCGUGUCUGCACACCGAGGUCUAACCACUGGGGCAGUUCUACCCUAUUAGGUGAAGAAGAAACCCCCUCAUCUUGUUGUGGCUUGUGCCGCCCUGCAGGGCUGGGAUUGGGCAGAGAAAGCCUGUGUUUACGUGCGACUUUAAUUUGAUUUACUGUCCCUGACAAGCCCGCCUGAACCCAGCGCUCUGUCUCAGCAGGGUCCCUGCCUCGCCUCUCCUGCUCUGCAAGAACUCGAAAGCAGGAGCUGGCAGGUGGAUGCCGAGGGGGACUUCGCCUCCCUUCAUGCUUGCCCAGGGCAAGUGGAACCAAGCCCGACUGCUUCAGAACCUUUCCUGGGCACGGGCUAAAGGCGCUUGGUGUCACGGUGUCACUGGAGGUGGCCUGAGGGGCAGACAGAUUCACCAGCAAUGGCUGCAUCUUGGGAGCUCAGCUCUGUGAAGCGGCAGUGUCAGCCCCGUGCGAGCUCCCCGCCAUCUGGGGAGGGGACACUGUGCUUGGAAAGUCAGAAGACAGGAAAGCAUCUGCGCCCUCCUCCUCCCGAGGCCCUCAGUGUCCUGCCUCCUCUCUGAGGCUGUCUGUGUUCGAACCUGCCCUGGGCCCUGUCACCGGAACAAAAGAUGGAAUUUCGCAUUUCUACCUCCUCAUUUCCUAGAAUUUCAGCUGCCUUCAUGGUUCUCC
rnacentral:lncRNA from 1 species